GGCGGGUGGAUGAACGCGGCCCUCUGUAAUGGCGGAGCGUGGCGGGGACGGGGGGGACGGUGAGCGAUUCAACCCGGGGGAGCUCAGGAUGGCUCAACAGCAGGCCUUGAGGUUCCGAGGCCCGGCUCCCCCACCAAAUGCAGUGAUGCGAGGCCCACCACCUCUUAUGCGACCUCCUCCACCUUUUGGUAUGAUGCGAGGCCCUCCACCACCACCACGGCCCCCUUUUGGACGUCCUCCUUUUGAUCCUAAUAUGCCGCCAAUGCCUCCUCCAGGAGGGAUUCCUCCACCGAUGGGCCCUCCACACCUCCAGAGACCACCUUUUAUGCCUCCACCCAUGGGAACCAUGCCUCCUCCUCCGGGUAUGAUGUUUCCACCAGGAAUGCCUCCUGUGACUGCUCCUGGUACUCCAGCAUUGCCUCCUACUGAGGAGAUAUGGGUUGAAAAUAAAACUCCAGAUGGGAAGGUUUAUUAUUAUAAUGCUCGGACACGUGAAUCUGCAUGGACCAAACCAGAUGGAGUUAAGGUUAUUCAGCAGUCAGAACUGACACCUAUGCUUGCAGCCCAGGCUCAGGUUCAGGCCCAAGCCCAGGCGCAGGCCCAGGCCCAGGCCCAGGCGCAGGCUCAGGCGCAGGCACAAGCACAAGCUCAAGCGCAGGCCCAGGCCCAGGCACAGGCCCAGGCUCAGGCACAAGCACAGGCUCAGGCGCAGGCCCAAGCUCAGGCCCAGGUGCAGGCGCAAGUACAAGCACAAGCAGUAGGAGCUUCCACCCCUACAACCAGUAGCCCAGCACCUGCAGUGUCCACUUCAACAUCAUCAUCCACCCCAUCCUCUACCACUUCUACCACAACAACUGCCUCUUCGGUUUCGCAGACAGUAUCAACACCCACAACACAAGAUCAGACCCCAAGUUCUGCUGUUUCAGUUGCCACGCCUACAGUUAGUGUUUCAACUCCUGCUCCUACAGCCACACCUGUGCAAACUGUUCCCCAGCCGCAUCCCCAGACGUUACCUCCUGCUGUUCCUCAUUCAGUACCUCAGCCAGCAGCAGCAAUACCUGCUUUUCCACCAGUAAUGGUACCUCCGUUUCGUGUUCCCCUUCCUGGCAUGCCAAUUCCACUUCCAGGUGUAGCAAUGAUGCAAAUAGUCAGCUGCCCGUAUGUAAAGACAGUCGCUACCACCAAGACCGGUGUGUUGCCAGGCAUGGCCCCUCCUAUCGUACCUAUGAUACACCCCCAGGUUGCUAUUGCAGCUUCCCCUGCUACCUUAGCUGGAGCGACGGCAGUUUCUGAGUGGACUGAGUAUAAAACAGCGGAUGGAAAGACGUAUUACUAUAAUAAUAGAACGUUAGAAUCAACCUGGGAAAAACCCCAAGAGCUAAAGGAAAAAGAAAAAUUAGAGGAGAAGAUUAAAGAGCCAAUUAAAGAACCUUCUGAAGAACCUCUUCCAAUGGAGACGGAGGAGGAGGACCCUAAAGAAGAGCCCAUAAAGGAGAUAAAGGAGGAGCCCAAAGAGGAGGAGAUGACUGAAGAAGAAAAGGCUGCCCAGAAGGCAAAGCCAGUAGCUACUACCCCUAUUCCUGGUACUCCAUGGUGUGUUGUUUGGACUGGUGAUGAGCGGGUCUUCUUUUAUAAUCCUACCACCCGUCUUUCUAUGUGGGACCGACCUGAUGAUCUGAUUGGAAGGGCAGAUGUUGACAAAAUUAUUCAGGAGCCUCCUCAUAAAAAAGGAAUGGAAGAAGUGAAGAAACUAAGACACCCGACCCCCACAAUGCUGUCCAUCCAAAAAUGGCAAUUCUCUAUGAGUGCAAUUAAAGAAGAACAAGAAUUAAUGGAAGAACUUAAUGAAGAUGAACCUGUUAAAGCCAAAAAACGGAAGAGAGACGAUAAUAAAGACAUUGAUUCAGAGAAAGAAGCUGCGAUGGAAGCUGAAAUUAAAGCUGCCCGAGAAAGGGCCAUUGUCCCUCUGGAGGCCCGAAUGAAGCAGUUCAAGGACAUGCUGCUAGAGAGAGGGGUGUCUGCUUUUUCAACAUGGGAGAAGGAGUUGCACAAGAUAGUUUUUGAUCCUCGGUACUUACUUCUCAAUCCUAAAGAGAGAAAACAGGUAUUUGAUCAGUAUGUAAAGACGAGGGCUGAGGAAGAACGCAGGGAAAAGAAAAACAAAAUAAUGCAAGCCAAGGAAGAUUUCAAAAAAAUGAUGGAAGAAGCAAAAUUUAAUCCAAGAGCUACUUUUAGUGAAUUUGCAGCCAAGCAUGCUAAAGAUUCAAGAUUCAAAGCGAUCGAAAAGAUGAAAGAUCGAGAAGCCUUGUUUAAUGAAUUUGUGGCAGCUGCAAGGAAGAAAGAGAAAGAAGAUUCGAAGACCAGAGGUGAGAAGAUUAAAUCGGAUUUCUUUGAAUUGUUAUCAAAUCAUCACUUGGACAGUCAGUCUCGAUGGAGCAAAGUGAAAGACAAAGUAGAAAGUGAUCCACGUUACAAAGCAGUGGACAGUUCAUCAAUGAGAGAAGACCUUUUCAAACAGUAUAUUGAAAAAAUAGCCAAGAAUUUAGACUCAGAAAAAGAAAAGGAGCUUGAAAGGCAAGCCCGCAUUGAGGCAAGCCUUCGAGAACGAGAAAGAGAGGUUCAAAAGGCUCGUUCAGAACAAACAAAAGAAAUAGAUCGAGAGAGAGAGCAACACAAACGAGAAGAAGCUAUCCAGAAUUUCAAGGCUCUUUUGUCUGACAUGGUACGUUCUUCAGAUGUGUCAUGGUCUGAUACUCGGAGGACUCUGCGGAAAGAUCACCGUUGGGAAUCUGGAUCCUUGUUGGAAAGAGAGGAGAAAGAGAAGCUUUUUAAUGAACACAUUGAAGCACUUACCAAAAAGAAGAGGGAGCACUUUAGGCAACUUCUGGAUGAAACUUCUGCAAUUACCUUAACAUCCACAUGGAAAGAAGUAAAAAAAAUCAUUAAGGAAGAUCCUCGGUGCAUUAAGUUCUCCUCCAGUGACAGGAAAAAACAAAGAGAAUUUGAGGAAUACAUCAGAGACAAAUACAUCACAGCCAAAGCUGACUUCAGGACGCUUUUGAAAGAGACCAAAUUUAUAACCUAUAGUUAAUUUAGUGAAAGAUGUGAAAGUGAAAGCUUGUGAGAGAUGCUGGGAUUGGCAGCCCCGCAGACUGAAGUCCUCUGUUCAUCCACAGAACAGAUCCAAAAAGCUAAUCCAGGAAUCUGAUCAGCACCUGAAAGAUGUAGAAAAAAUCUUGCAGAACGACAAACGGUAUCUAGUACUAGACUGUGUGCCCGAGGAGAGGCGUAAACUGAUUGUGGCAUAUGUGGAUGACCUGGACCGCCGGGGUCCACCCCCGCCUCCCACAGCAUCAGAGCCCACGAGACGAUCAACAAAAUAAUUCUCAGUACUCUUCCACAGGGGGAUCUUCAUUCAAAACGCUUGCAUGAGCCAAUUUUCAGGUUUUUACAUGUAUGUGCAUUAGUCAAACUAUUGCAGAACCAUCUGACGAACAGAAGGAGAAGCAUUCGUGAACCGUUUCUGAACAGAGAACACUUUGGAAAUAAUUUAUGCUUUUCUUGUGUGGCAUGACUGACAUACAUACUCAAAUAUAGGCUGUCUCUAGUAAAUCUAAAAUCUCGAAGCUAAAAAUCAUCCUUUUAUGAGGUGUGGAAGUCAGUGACUUUUGGUGACGUUCUUUCUAGCAGUGUUAAACAUGCAAGACGUAAGAGCAUUUGUGGUUUGAACUUGCAGGAUGCAAAUACCACAUACUCCAAGAAAACCUAAGUUGGGGGUUGUUCUGUUUUGAUUUUGUUUUUUAAAGCGGGUAAAAGAGAAAACACUGAAAAUUGAAUUCUUAUCUUCCAGAGGCUAAGAUUAUUAUAAUGGACAUACUUUUACCUUUGUCUCUAAAGAACACUUUAGUUUUGUUUGUUCACUUAUGUGCUUUGAUUAUCCCCUCAGAAUUAGAGGCCAAGUCUUGUUGUUUAGCCUAAGAGAAGAUUUAUUUAGUAAUGUCUUCUCAGGUAUGGAACCAUGGUCAUAACUAACAUAUUGGCCAGAAUAGGACUGCUGGUUAAACACAUUUUAUUUACCAUUAAGUGAUCUUUAUCAAUAUUCUGGAUUAGACAACAAAUUACCUUUCUUGGGUGUUCCCUGUAAACUAUACUCCUGUUUGAAUGUUAAACUUUUGUUUCUAAAGUUUAAUUUUAAGAUGUUUGAAUGUUCAGUUUAUGUAUUUGAACUACAAUAAACCAACCCUUUUUAUAUAU